UCCGCCUACGGGGCGCAGCAGUCGGGAAUAUUGCGCAAUGGAGGAAACUCUGACGCAGUGACGCCGCGUAUAGGAAGAAGGUUUUCGGAUUGUAAACUAUUGUCGAUAGGGAAGAAAAAAGACUGUACCUAUCAAGAAAGCUCCGGCUAACUACGUGCCAGCAGCCGCGGUAAUACGUAGGGGGCAAGCGUUAUCCGGAUUUACUGGGUGUAAAGGGAGCGUAGACGGUGAGACAAGUCUGAAGUGAAAGCCCGGGGCUCAACCCCGGGACUGCUUUGGAAACUGCCUGACUGGAGUGCUGGAGG
rnacentral:rRNA from 1 species